GGACUACUAGGGUUUCUAAUCCUGUUUGCUCCCCACGCUUUCGUGCCUGAACGUCGGUACUGGACCAGGAAGCCGCUUUCGCCACUGGUGUUCCUUCAGAUAUCUACGCAUUUCACCGCUACACCUGAAAUUCCGCUUCCCUCUUCCGUACCCUAGCUAUGCAGUCUCAAAUGGCAUUCCCAGGUUGAGCCCGGGGCUUUCACACCUGACUUACAUAACCGUCUACGCACGCUUUACGCCCAGUAAUUCCGAUUAACGCUUGCACCCUCUGUAUUACCGCGGCGGCUGGCAC
rnacentral:rRNA from 2 species